rnacentral:rRNA from 1 species
GACGAACCGUGCGAACGUUGUUCGGAAUCACUGGGCUUAAAGGGCGCGUAGGCGGCUCAUCAAGUCCGGGGUGAAAGCCCCCAGCUCAACUGGGGAAGUGCCUCGGAUACUGGUGAGCUUGAGGGAGGUAGGGGCGGAUGGAACUUCCGGUGGAGCGGUGAAAUGCGUUGAUAUCGGAAGGAACGCCGGUGGCGAAAGCGAUCCGCUGGCCCUCUUCUGACGCUGAGGCGCGAAAGCCAGGGGAGCAAACGGG